GUCUUCCAGCCUCAGCCUCUAGCGUCACUAAGUUUUCCAUUGCUGUAACAAAAGCUCCUUAGGAAGAACAGAGGCUUACUUACCUCAUGGUUUUGAAGCCUGAAAGUCCACACAGCACGACCCAGGCUCUGGAGAGGGCUGCCAUCACCUCUCAGCAGAUGGCAAUGGCAGAAGCGCAUACAGGGGCAAGUGACCACAUGGCCACACAGAUGCCAGCAGGACAGGUCCCAGGUGCCCUCUAGGGCAUGGCUCCAAUGGGCCUAACCCUAAAGGUCCCAUCACCAACAUCAUGACUCCCAAGACCAAGGGCCCAACCUAGGGACGUUUGGGAGGACAAGCUUCAGGGUAGCAGGCUCCAGUUAUCAGAGCCAGGGACACAGGGCAGCAUAGUGCUGGUGGGGGACGGGAGAGGUCUGUGCUGGAUCCUGAAGGCUGAGUAAUGCUCAGAAGGAGGGAGGGAAGUCUCCAGGGCAGAAGAGACUGCAUGACCACACGGGGUCAUCUGGGAUCUGUGUAGUGAACGCAGAGUCACCACACAGAACGCACCGUGCUCUGCCACUGAACCACACCCCCAGCCUUUUUCAAAUUUUGAAACAAGACCUCACUUUUCUGCUGUCCUUAAUAAAGCUUCUACUUUUAAUUUGCAGAUGCUAGCCUCAAACUUGUAAUCCUAUAGGGGUGUAGGCAAGGCGGCCAGAGGGUGGUCAUCGUCCUGGGUGACCCAAGGCCAAGCACAGCACACUGGAGGAUCCCCGUGUGGUUUCGUGAGCCACCUGAAGAGUCUGCCAUUUAUCUUGCUGUCUGGGAGGCUCUUCAAGAUGACCAGGCAGAUCUCUAUUGGGGAAGGAGGGAGCGAACUGCAGCCUCCAGGUAAAUUCAUAUCCAAUUAAGGUGAACCAGGUGGUUGUUAAAAGACUGUCUGAUGGAUGGCAAAUCCCAUAUACAUAUGGAAUAGUCCAAAGGCAGUCGAUAGCCCAGUAUGGUACAGUAACGCACACCUGUGAUCCCAGCCGCUGGGGAGGCUGAGGCGGGAGGAUUACAAGUUUGAGGGCAGCAUCUGCAAAUUAGUGAGGACCUGUUUCAAAAUUUUUAAAAGGCUGGGGGUGUGGUUCAGUGACAAAGCACUCGCCUAGCGGUUUCAGAAUCAGUGAGCCAGUUUCUCUCUCAGGGACCAUGGACCCUCAGAGGUCACCUGUGGGAGAACAAAGCCUCUGUAUAUACUUUCUUAUUCCAGAGGCAGUGGGAGGAGCCUAACCCCUGGUGUGACAGAAGAGUCAUCCUGGGCCCAAAGCUGGUGGGUAUGCUUUCUGCACAGUCUUAGGACUUGGGGGAGCUUGGAGGCCUCCCGCCUGAGCUCUCUGCCAGGACCUCAGCUGGUGUGGGACGUCAGGGUGAAGCCAGAUUUACAGAUAGGUAGAUAAUGUAGUUAGGUAAAUCGAGUCUAAUAUGGAGUAAAAUCAAGAAGGAAGGCCAUAUUGAGAAUGGAGUCCAGGAAAAGGGGGAAUUGAAAAAGUCCCCAAGGCCCCGAGCCCAUCCCAAGGAAAUGUUAAUGAAGCAGCUCCCAGCAGCAAAGAGAUGCUAAUCCAAAAGCCCUUCCUGCCCAGAUUACUUCCGCUCAUCUGUGCCUCACCUUUUGGGCCUUUCCCCUUACAUUUAAUCAGUGCAAGAUAACAGAACGAAGGACAGAAAUGCGGAAAAUCUGAAAGUAAGCCUUAGCUAUAAAAGAGGGAAGACCACCCCCCUUCCAUGGAUUCCAUCUCUUGGGUCCCCUUCUUCCUUUGGGGAGGGGAGAAGUCUUUUCUGCUGCCCUUAAUAAAGCUUCUACUUUCCACUCUGACCUUGCCUGGGCGUGCUUCUCUGGUGUUGUACUUCAGCAUUGGGGAAGCAGGGACUCCUCACAGGUAAACAGGGUAACAAGGGCACACAGCACGUCUGGGCACCUGUGCUUCAGCAGGCCCGGAGAGCCCCAGCACUGGACCACCUCCCACAGCCCAUCUUCUCCCAGCUCAGAGAGCACAAGCUGCCAGCACAGGCUCCCUAGUGGCAUCGCCCACUCCGGCUCUGGCGGAAUCCUUACGCAAAUGCAAAAUGGGAGAAGGCGGACCAGCGAAGGUGGGGACGAAGGCUAGAGAAAGG
rnacentral:lncRNA from 1 species